GACGAACGCUGGCGGCGUGCCUAACACAUGCAAGUCGAGCGAAUGAAGUUUCUUCGGGAACGGAUUUAGCGGCGGACGGGUGAGUAACACGUGGGCAACCUGCCUCAUAGAGGGGAAUAGCCUUCCGAAAGGGAGAUUAAUACCGCAUAAGAUUGUAGUACCGCAUGGUACAGCAAUUAAAGGAGCAAUCCGCUAUGAGAUGGGCCCGCGGCGCAUUAGCUAGUUGGUGAGGUAACGGCUCACCAAGGCGACGAUGCGUAGCCGACCUGAGAGGGUGAUCGGCCACAUUGGGACUGGAACGCGGCCCAGACUCCUACGGGAGGCAGCAGUGGGGAAUAUUGCACAAUGGGGGAAACCCUGAUGCAGCAACGCCGCGUGAGUGAUGACGGCCUUCGGGUUGUAAAGCUCUGUCUUCAGGGACGAUAAUGACGGUACCUGAGGAGGAAGCCACGGCUAACUACGUGCCAGCCGCCGCCGUAACAC
rnacentral:rRNA from 1 species